UGUACCCCGAUUGACUUAAGCAUAUUCAUAGCGGAGGAAAAGAAACCAACAGGGAUUGCCCUAGUAACGGCGAGUGAAGCGGCAACAGCUCAAAUUUGAAAUCUGGCUCUCGGGCCCGAGUUGUAAUUUGUAGAGGAUACUUUUGAUGCGGUGCCUUCCGAGUUCCCUGGAACGGGACGCCAUAGAGGGUGAGAGCCCCGUCUGGUUGGAUGCCAAAUCUCUGUAAAGUUCCUUCAACGAGUCGAGUAGUUUGGGAAUGCUGCUCUAAAUGGGAGGUAUAUGUCUUCUAAAGCUAAAUACCGGCCAGAGACCGAUAGCGCACAAGUAGAGUGAUCGAAAGAUGAAAAGCACUUUGAAAAGAGAGUUAAAAAGUACGUGAAAUUGUUGAAAGGGAAGCGUUUAUGACCAGACUUGGGCUUGGUUAAUCAUCUGGGGUUCUCCCCAGUGCACUUUUCCAGUCCAGGCCAGCAUCAGUUUUCCCCGGGGGAUAAAGGCGGCGGGAAUGUGGCUCUCUUCGGGGAGUGUUAUAGCCCACCGUGUAAUACCCUGGGGGGGACUGAGGUUCGCGCAUCUGCAAGGAUGCUGGCGUAAUGGUCAUCAACGACCCGUCUUGAAACACGGACCAAGGAGUCGUCUUCGUAUGCGAGUGUUCGGGUGUCAAACCCCUACGCGUAAUGAAAGUGAACGCAGGUGAGAGCUUCGGCGCAUCAUCGACCGAUCCUGAUGUUCUCGGAUGGAUUUGAGUAAGAGCAUACGGGGCCGGACCCGAAAGAAGGUGAACUAUGCCUGUAUAGGGUGAAGCCAGAGGAAACUCUGGUGGAGGCUCGCAGCGGUUCUGACGUGCAAAUCGAUCGUCAAAUAUGGGCAUGGGGGCGAAAGACUAAUCGAACCUUCUAGUAGCUGGUUCC
rnacentral:rRNA from 1 species